CCAUCGGCCCUUUUCAAGGCCAUCAAAUUGAUGGAAAAGAGUUAAA
rfam:Aedes aegypti strain Liverpool supercont1.98 genomic scaffold, whole genome shotgun sequence.